CAUCCACAGCACCACACGUCCCCGACGCGCUUGGACGAACCCUAGUUGAGAAGUCGAAGAAAACGGCAGAGAGAGAACUCGCGUAAAGAGAGAGUGCAGACAGCGAAACCCUAAAUCGUGGCACUGCCAAGGCCUCCAUACGGUCCGAUCGGAGAUGGCGCCGUCGCCGCUGGAGAAGCUCAAGAGCAUCUGGAACUCCCAGGUCAUGGAUGAGGAGCAGUGGGCCCUCAACUAUAAAGUGCUGAAGGCUGCGGGACUGUUUGCUGGAUCCAUCUUUGUGAUGCGGAACUUUGGUGAACAGAUGGCCAUUUAAGGCUGCGUGUAGUUGUUGGACAGGGUAGUGGUUUCAUUACAUGUUCCUUUGUAUGCCUUGUCAUCAGGCUUUUGGAAUAUUUGUACUCAGGUUUAAAGCAUUUCUGGGUAUGGCUAUGGCCUAUGGGACAGUUAUUUUCGUAUAACAGUUGAGCACUUGCUUGUAUUUUACAAGUUCAAACAGUUGUUACUGAAAUUUUCUAUUCACCAUAUAGGUGCACGCCUUAUAAGUUGACGA